CUUUCCUUGGGGGAACCGGGGGAAGGUCCAUUAAAUAAAUUUUUUCCCCUUUUUAGGAACAAACUCUAAAUCUUAAAUCUCAACAAAGUUUAAAAAAAAAACUUUCAACAACGGAUCUCUUGGUUCUCGCAUCGAUGAAGAACGCAGCGAAUUGCGAUACGUAAUAUGACUUGCAGACGUGAAUCAUUGAAUCUUUGAACGCACAUUGCGCCUUAAGGUAUUCCUCAAGGCAUGCGUGAAUGAGCGAUAUUUACCCUCAAACCUUUGGUUUGGUCUUGGCCCUAAAUAUCAACCGGUACUAGAAUAAGUUUUAGAACCUACCCUACUUCC
rnacentral:rRNA from 1 species